GGCUGUCAAUGAUGCCAUCUUAACUUACCUACAUUGUUUGAAUGUGCAUGAGAACACACAUUAUCUGAGACAUCU